rnacentral:rRNA from 1 species
GACGAACGCUGGCGGCGUGCUUAACACAUGCAAGUCGAGCGGAAAGGCUCCUUCGGGGGUACUCGAGCGGCGAACGGGUGAGUAACACGUGAGUAAUCUGCCCUGCGCUCUGGGAUAGCCACCGGAAACGGUGAUUAAUACCGGAUAUGACCGCUACACGCAUGUGUUGGUGGUGGAAAGUUUUUCGGCGCAGGAUGUGCUCGCGGCCUAUCAGCUUGUUGGUGAGGUAAUGGCUCACCAAGGCUUUGACGGGUAGCCGGCCUGAGAGGGUGACCGGUCACACUGGGACUGAGACACGGCCCAGACUCCUACGGGAGGCAGCAGUGGGGAAUAUUGGACAAUGGGCGGAAGCCUGAUCCAGCAACGCCGCGUGAGGGAUGACGGCCUUCGGGUUGUAAACCUCUUUCAGUAGGGAAGAAGCCUUCGGGUGACGGUACCUGCAGAAAAAGGACCGGCUAACUACGUGCCAGCCGCCGCGGUAACAC